GACAGAGGCUUGAGGACUGUUACCGUAGUUACAGUGCAUUCACAAAGUAUUCAGACCCCAAGGUGAAGGACAGAGGCUUGAGGACUGUUACAGUGCAUUCACAAAGUAUUCAGACCCCAAGGUGAAGGACAGAGGCUUGAGGACUGUUACCGUAGUUACAGUGCAUUCAGGAAGUAUUCAGACCCCAAGGUAAAGGACAGAGGCUUGAGGACUGUUACCGUAGUUACAGUGCAUUCACAAAGUAUUCAGACCCCAAGGUAAAGGACAGAGGCUUGAGGACUGUUACCGUAGUUACAGUGCAUUCAGGAAGUAUUCAGACCCCAAGGUGAAGGACAGAGGCUUGAGGACUGUUACCGUAAUUACAGUGCAUUCAGGAAGUAUUCAGACCCCAAGGUGAAGGACAGAGGCUUGAGGACUGUUACCGUAGUUACAGUGCAUUCAGGAAGUAUUCAGACCCCAAGGUGAAGGACAGAGGCUUGAGGACUGUUACCGUAGUUAGUGUAUUCAGGAAGUAUUCAGACCCCAAGGUAAAGGACAGAGGCUUGAGGACUGUUACCGUAGUUACAGUGCAUUCAGGAAGUAUUUAGACCCCAAGGUAAAGGACAGAGGCUUGAGGACUGUUACCGUAGUUACAGUGUAUUCACAAAGUAUUCAGACCCCAAGGUAAAGGACAGAGGCUUGAGGACUGUUACCGUAGUUACAGUGCAUUCACAAAGUAUUCAGACCCCAAGGUAAAGGACAGAGGCUUGAGGACUGUUACCGUAGUUACAGUGUAUUCACAAAGUAUUCAGACCCCAAGGUGAAGGACAGAGGCUUGAGGACUGUUACCGUAGUUACAGUGUAUUCACAAAGUAUUCAGACCCCAUGGUGAAGGACAGAGGCUUGAGGACUGUUACCGUAGUUACAGUGUAUUCACAAAGUAUUCAGACCCCAAGGUGAAGGACAGAGGCUUGAGGACUGUUACUGUAGUUACUGUGCAUUCACAAAGUAUUCAGACCCCAAGGUGAAGGACAGAGGCUUGAGGACUGUUACAGUGCAUUCACAAAGUAUUCAGACCCCAAGGUGAAGGACAGAGGCUUGAGGACUGUUACCGUAGUUACAGUGCAUUCAGGAAGUAUUCAGACCCCAAGGUAAAGGACAGAGGCUUGAGGACUGUUACCGUAGUUACAGUGCAUUCAGGAAGUAUUUAGACCCCAAGGUAAAGGACAGAGGCUUGAGGACUGUUACCGUAGUUACAGUGUAUUCACAAAGUAUUCAGACCCCAAGGUAAAGGACAGAGGCUUGAGGACUGUUACCGUAGUUACAGUGCAUUCACAAAGUAUUCAGACCCCAAGGUGAAGGACAGAGGCUUGAGGACUGUUACCGUAGUUACAGUGCAUUCACAAAGUAUUCAGACCCCAAGGUGAAGGACAGAGGCUUGAGGACUGUUACCGUAGUUACAGUGCAUUCAGGAAGUAUUCAGACCCCAAGGUAAAGGACAGAGGCUUGAGGACUGUUACCGUAGUUACAGUGUAUUCACAAAGUAUUCAGACCCCAAGGUGAAGGACAGAGGCUUGAGGACUGUUACCGUAGUUACAGUGUAUUCACAAAGUAUUCAGACCCCAAGGUGAAGGACAGAGGCUU